rnacentral:rRNA from 1 species
UACGGAGGGUGCAAGCGUUAUCCGGAUUCACUGGGUUUAAAGGGUGCGUAGGUGGGAAUGUAAGUCAGUGGUGAAAUCUCCGUGCUUAACAUGGAAAUCUCCAUUGAUACUAUGUUUCUUGAAUUUUCUGGAGGUAAGCGGAAUAUGUCAUGUAGCGGUGAAAUGCUUAGAUAUGACAUAGAACACCAAUUGCGAAGGCAGCUUGCUACAGGGAUAUUGACACUGAGGCACGAAAGCGUGGGGAUCAAACAGG